rnacentral:rRNA from 1 species
GGGUUGUGAGGUUAAGCGACUAAGCGUACACGGUGGAUGCCCUGGCAGUCAGAGGCGAUGAAGGGCGUGCUAAUCUGCGAUAAGCGCCGGUAAGGUGAUAUGAACCGUUAUAACCGGCGAUACCCGAAUGGGGAAACCCAGUGUGAUUCGUCACACUAUCAUUAACUGAAUCCAUAGGUUAAUGAGGCGAACCGGGGGAACUGAAACAUCUAAGUACCCCGAGGAAAAGAAAUCAACCGAGAUUCCCCCAGUAGCGGCGAGCGAACGGGGAGGAGCCCAGAGCCUGAAUCAGCAUGUGUGUUAGUGGAAGCGUCUGGAAAGGCGCGCGAUACGCCGUAUAGGGGAGCCGGAGGGAAACUGAGUCUUAACCGGGCGUUAAGUUGCAGGGUAUAGACCCGAAACCCGGUGAUUCAGCCAUGGGCAGGUUGAAGGUUGGGUAACACUAACUGGAGGACCGAACCGACUAAUGUUGAAAAAUUAGCGGAUGACCUGUGGCUGGGGUGAAAGGCCAAUCAAACCGGGAGAUAGCUGGUUCUCCCGAAAGCUAUUUAGGUAGCGCCUCGUGAAUUCAUCUCCGGGGUAGAGCACUGUUUCGGCUAGGGGCCAUCCCGGCUUACCAACCCGAUGCAAACUGCGAAUACCGGAGAAUGUUAUCACGGGAGACACACGGCGGGUGCUAACGUCCGUCGUGAAGAGGGAAACAACCCAGACCGCCAGCUAAGGUCCCAAAGUCAUGGUUAAGUGGGAAACGAUGUGGGAAGGCCCAGACAGCCGGAUGUUGGCUUGGAAGCAGCCAUCAUUUAAAAGAAAGCGUAAUAGCUCACUGGUCGAGUCGGCCUGCGCGGAAGAUGUAACGGGGGCUAAACCAUGCACCGAAGCUGCGGCAGCGAACGUAUCACCCAAGACAACUUUACGGAGUUGACGAUUGACGGAGCGAAGCGACGUCAAAGCGUUCAUUAAAGUCGAGUUGGCUUAGGGAUACGUUCGUUGGGUAGGGGAGCGUUCUGUAAGCCUGUGAAGGUGUGUCGUGAGGCAUGCUGGAGGUAUCAGAAGUGCGAAUGCUGACAUAAGUAACGAUAAAGCGGGUGAAAAGCCCGCUCGCCGGAAGACCAAGGGUUCCUGUCCAACGUUAAUCGGGGCAGGGUGAGUCGACCCCUAAGGCGAGGCCGAAAGGCGUAGUCGAUGGGAAACGGGUUAAUAUUCCCGUACUUGGUGUUACUGCGAAGGGGGGACGGAGAAGGCUAUGUUGGCCGGGCGACGGUUGUCCCGGUUUAAGCGUGUAGGUGUGUGUUCCAGGUAAAUCCGGUUCACUUUAACACUGAGGCGUGACGACGAGGCACUACGGUGCUGAAGCAACAAAUGCCCUGCUUCCAGGAAAAGCCUCUAAGCAUCAGGUAACAUCAAAUCGUACCCCAAACCGACACAGGUGGUCAGGUAGAGAAUACCAAGGCGCUUGAGAGAACUCGGGUGAAGGAACUAGGCAAAAUGGUGCCGUAACUUCGGGAGAAGGCACGCUGACACGUAGGUGAAGUGAUUUACUCACGGAGCUGAAGUCAGUCGAAGAUACCAGCUGGCUGCAACUGUUUAUUAAAAACACAGCACUGUGCAAACACGAAAGUGGACGUAUACGGUGUGACGCCUGCCCGGUGCCGGAAGGUUAAUUGAUGGGGUCAGCGCAAGCGAAGCUCCUGAUCGAAGCCCCGGUAAACGGCGGCCCGUAACUAUAACGGUCCUAAGGUAGCGAAAUUCCUUGUCGGGUAAGUUCCGACCUGCACGAAUGGCGUAAUGAUGGCCAGGCUGUCUCCACCCGAGACUCAGUGAAAUUGAACUCGCUGUGAAGAUGCAGUGUACCCGCGGCAAGACGGAAAGACCCCGUGAACCUUUACUAUAGCUUGACACUGAACAUUGAGCCUUGAUGUGUAGGAUAGGUGGGAGGCUUUGAAGUGUGGACGCCAGUCUGCAUGGAGCCGACCUUGAAAUACCACCCUUUAAUGUUUGAUGUUCUAACGUGGACCCGUUACCCGGGUUGCGGACAGUGUCUGGUGGGUAGUUUGACUGGGGCGGUCUCCUCCCCCAAAGAGUAACGGAGGAGCACGAAGGUUGGCUAAUCCCCGGUCGGACAUCAGGAGGUUAGUGCAAUGGCAUAAGCCAGCUUGACUGCGAGCGUGACGGCGCGAGCAGGUGCGAAAGCAGGUCAUAGUGAUCCGGUGGUUCUGAAUGGAAGGGCCAUCGCUCAACGGAUAAAAAGGUACCCGGGGAUAACAGGCUGAUACCGCCCAAGAGUUCAUAUCGACGGCGGUGUUUGGCACCCUCGAUGUCGGCUCAUCACAUCCCGGGGCUGAAGUAGGUCCCAAGGGGGUAUGGCUGUUCGCCAUUUAAAAAGUGGUACGCGAGCUGGGUUUAGAACGUCGUGAGACAGUUCGGUCCCCAUUCUGCCGUGGGCGCUGGAGAACUGAGGGGGCUGCUCCCCUGUACGAGAGGACCGGAGUGGACGCAUCACUGGUGUUCGGGUUGUCAUGCCAAUGGCACUGCCCGGUAGCUAAAUGCGGAAGAGAUAAGUGCUGAAAGCAUCUAAGCACGAAACUUGCCCCGAGAUGAGUUCUCCCUGAGACUUAGAGUCUCCUGAAGGAACGUUGAAGACGACGACGUUGAUAGGCCGGGUGUGUAAGCGCAGCGAUGCGUUGAGCUAACCGGUACUAAUGAACCGUGAGGCUUAACCUUACAACGCCGAAG